GCCUCGAUCACCGGUGCGGCUGCGGAAGGGACGCUGUUCACCUUCGGCCCCGAUCCGCGCAACAAGCCGACCGCGAAGGCCAUCGUCGAGAAGUUCAAGGCGAAGGGCAUCGAUCCAGAAGGCUACACGCUCUACACCUACGCUUCGUUCCAGGUCUGGUCGCAGGCCGUGAACAAGAUCAAGAGCACCGAUCCGAAGAAGGUCAUCGAGGCCAUCAAGGGCGGCGAAUGGGACACAGUGCUGGGCAAGCUG
rnacentral:misc_RNA from 1 species